rnacentral:rRNA from 1 species
GCGGUGGAGCAUGUGGUUUAAUUCGAAAGCUACGCGAAGAACCUUACCAGGUCUUGACAUCUUCUGCCAAUCUAAGAGAUUAGGCGUUCCCUUCGGGGACAGAAUGACAGGUGGUGCAUGGUUGUCGUCAGCUCGUGUCGUGAGAUGUUGGGUUAAGUCCCGCAACGAGCGCAACCCUUAUUGUUAGUUGCCAGCAUUCAGUUGGGCACUCUAGCAAGACUGCCGGUGACAAACCGGAGGAAGGUGGGGAUGACGUCAAAUCAUCAUGCCCCUUAUGACCUGGGCUACACACGUGCUACAAUGGACGGUACAACGAGUUGCGAAACCGCGAGGUCAAGCUAAUCUCUUAAAGCCGUUCUCAGUUCGGAUUGUAGGCUGCAACUCGCCUACAUGAAGUUGGAAUCGCUAGUAAUCGUGGAUCAGCAUGCCACGGUGAAUACGUUCCCGGGCCUUGUACACACCGCCCGUCACACCAUGAGAGUUUGUAACACCCAAAGCCGGUGAGGUAACCUUCGGGGACCAGCCGUCUAAGGUGGGACAGAUGAUUAGGGUGAAGUCGUAACAAGGUAACC